rnacentral:rRNA from 1 species
GCUACUUCGGCGUCGAGCGGCGGACGGGUGAGUAAUGCCUGGGAAUUUGCCCAGUUGUGGGGGAUAACCAUUGGAAACGAUGGCUAAUACCGCAUAAACCCUACGGGGAAAAGGGGAGGCUCUUCGGACUUCUCGCAAUUGGAUAAGCCCAGGUGGGAUUAGCUAGUAGGUGAGGUAAAGGCUCACCUAGGCGACGAUCCCUAGCUGUUCUGAGAGGAUGAUCAGCCACACUGGAACUGAGACACGGUCCAGACUCCUACGGGAGGCAGCAGUGGGGAAUAUUGCACAAUGGGGGAAACCCUGAUGCAGCCAUGCCGCGUGUGUGAAGAAGGCCCUAGGGUUGUAAAGCACUUUCAGCGAGGAGGAAAGGUUAGUAGUUAAUACCUGCUAGCUGUGACGUUACUCGCAGAAGAAGCACCGGCUAACUCCGUGCCAGCAGCCGCGGUAAUACGGAGGGUGCGAGCGUUAAUCGGAAUUACUGGGCGUAAAGCGUGCGCAGGCGGUUUGCUAAGUCAGAUGUGAAAGCCCCGGGCUUAACCUGGGAAUCGCAUUUGAAACUGGCAAACUAGAGUCUUGUAGAGGGGGGUAGAAUUUCAGGUGUAGCGGUGAAAUGCGUAGAGAUCUGAAGGAAUACCGGUGGCGAAGGCGGCCCCCUGGAC